rnacentral:rRNA from 1 species
UACGGGAGGCAGCAGUGAGGAAUAUUGGACAAUGGGCGCAAGCCUGAUCCAGCCAUGCCGCGUGCAGGACGACGGCGCUAUGGAUUGUAAACUGCUUUUGUACAGGAAGAAACACCAUUCGUGUAA